rnacentral:rRNA from 1 species
GACGAACCGUCCAAACGUUAUUCGGAAUCACUGGGCUUAAAGGGUGCGUAGGCGGCGCGGAAAGUUGGGUGUGAAAUCCCUCGGCUCAACCGAGGAAUUGCGCCCAAAACUUCCGUGCUCGAGGAAGAUAGAGGUGAGCGGAACUUAGGGUGGAGCGGUGAAAUGCGUUGAUAUCCUAAGGAACACCGGUGGCGAAAGCGGCUCACUGGAUCUUUCUGACGCUGAGGCACGAAAGCUAGGGUAGCGAACGGG